rnacentral:lncRNA from 1 species
CAGGUUUAAAAUAAAUCUCUUUUUGAUUUAUUAUCAGUAAACAUUUCUUUUGUAUAAGAUUUUCUCAGUUAAAAGGGGUUGUGAGUAGAAAGAAUUUAAGAAGUGUUAGUUUAAAAAAACAAAGCAUGACUGAGGUUGUAGCUUGGUCGAUAGAGCACUUGUCUAGCCUGCUCAGUGCCCGAUCUGGUCCCUGACAUGUGAAUUAGCCAGAGUGCAUCAGACCUAUAGUCAUGACCAACAGGAGGUGGGAACAGUAGGAUCAUCUUUGAUUGCAUAAUGAGUUCAAGGCCAGCCAUAUAUAUGUAUAUUUAUAUCUAUAUAUGUUUAUAUAUAUCGAUAUAUGCACAGAGAGAGAGAGAGAGAGAAAGAGAGAGAGAGAGAGAAAGAGAAAGAGAAAGAUCAACUGAAAAGUAAUUGAAAUCCCAUGCCCUUAGGGAGUGUAUUUUCUGGGAUCUGUGUUCAACCUUUACAGCUUUAUUAGUCAAAACCCUUUGGGGUUUUGAAACCACCAGCCACCAGUGGGCGCUGCUCCCAGAUGGAUACCUGGAUAUCUCACCCCGCCUUGCAACUCUUGUCAACAAACAGGCUGCCAGGUUUGAUCCAGCAUUUGCAAGUCGUUCCAAAGCCAGAGGUGGGGGGUUUCCUGCAGGUUGGAAGCUGAUUUAGAAUGUGUCAGCACUUUCUUCCUAAGGUUUGCAGGUAUCAAUGUAGCACCCUGUUGCCUCGGACUUAAUCCGUGAUAUAAAACAAGAUAUCCUGAGUAAAAUCAACUUAAUAGGAACCAGUCACACAGCAAACUUAAAUCCAAACAGGCCAAUGCUAUGAUCACUCCUAUCUGCCAGACCAGAAAACUGAGUCUUAGAGACCAGUUUGCCUAAAGGCCUGCAUCCCAGGCUUCUACUGAGUUUUAACUACAAGAAUGGAUUGCUUUCACGGUCAGAGAGUGAAGGCAUUCUCCAGUCACCCUAAACCAUAGGCCCAACAUGGCAUCUUUAAAUCAGGGACAGCAUGUAAACUUUUCUCGGCUGUAGCUGAGUUUCACAAAGAGUGCCGCUUGCGGUGACGAAUGCCCCAUGGGAUGCUGGGCUGACCUCAGGACACACCCAUGCCACAGAGGGAACAGGUGUUUACUGAAGAUGGAGGAGAACUGGGACGUGGCAGCAGUGAGCCUCCCUAAGCAGCGUCACCAUUGGGAGGAAGCCAAGAGCUUGGCCCAGUGGCCUCGGUGGGGUUGGGCUCAUGCCUUCCCAGGUAUUGCUUCUUUUAACAUUGCAAUGUUUAAUUGUAACGCAUUUCCAAACAUACAGAAGCUCAUAAAGGAGACACCUAAAUACCAUGAAAGUGGAUCAGCUGCCAACACCUCCCAAGUGCUCCGCUCACCAUGC